rnacentral:rRNA from 1 species
UACCAGCACCCCGAGUGGUCGGGACGAUUAUUGGGCCUAAAGCAUCCGUAGCCGGUUCUACAAGUCUUCCGUUAAAUCCACCUGCUUAACAGAUGGGCUGCGGAGGAUACUAUAGAGCUAGGAGGCGGGAGAGGCAAGCGGUACUUAGUGGGUAGGGGUAAAAUCCGUUGAUCCAUUGAAGACCACCAGUGGCGAAAGGCGGCUUGCCAGAACGCGACUCGACGGUGAGGGAUGAA